GAUGAACGCUGGCGGCGUGCCUAAUACAUGCAAGUCGAGCGAACGGACGAGAAGCUUGCUUUUCUGAUGUUAGCGGCGGACGGGUGAGUAACACGUGGAUAACCUACCUAUAAGACUGGGAUAACUUCGGGAAACCGGAGCUAAUACCGGAUAAUAUUUUGAACCGCAUGGUUCAAAAGUGAAAGACGGUCUUGCUGUCACUUAUAGAUGGAUCCGCGCUGCAUUAGCUAGUUGGUAAGGUAACGGCUUACCAAGGCAACGAUGCAUAGCCGACCUGAGAGGGUGAUCGGCCACACUGGAACUGAGACACGGUCCAGACUCCUACGGGAGGCAGCAGUAGGGAAUCUUCCGCAGUGGGCGAAAGCCUGACGGAGCAACGCCGCGUGAGUGAUGAAGGUCUUCGGAUCGUAAAACUCUGUUAUUAGGGAAGAACAUAUGUGUAAGUAACUGUGCACAUCUUGACGGGACCUAAUCAGAAAGCCACGGCUAACUACGU
rnacentral:rRNA from 1 species